ACUCGAGUGGCUAACGGGUGAGUAACACGUGGGUGAUCUGCCCUGCACUUCGGGAUAAGCCUGGGAAACUGGGUCUAAUACCGGAUAGGAGCCAUUUUUAGUGUGAUGGUUGGAAAGUUUUUCGGUGUAGGAUGAGCUCGCGGCCUAUCAGCUUGUUGGUGGGGUAAUGGCCUACCAAGGCGGCGACGGGUAGCCGGCCUGAGAGGGUGGACGGCCACAUUGGGACUGAGAUACGGCCCAG
rnacentral:rRNA from 1 species